AAGAGGCACAGGCUUGUACCUAAAUGCACUAGGAGACAUCGCCAACCGCGCUUUUCAAGCAGGGCAACACGUCGACAUAGCAGCAUUGGACAUAUCAAAAGCUUACAAUCGCACCUGGAGGUACGGCACCUAAACGGGAAUAGAAAAUCCCUCCUACAGGUAGGUAACAGUAUACUCACAAGUAAACUUCUAUACGGUGUUGAAAUUUCGUCGAGAGUGUUCGACAGUCUUGUUACAACACUUGCGCCGGUCUACAACAAAAUGGUGCGAAAUUGCUCUGGACUACUGCCAAGUACCCCCGCAAUUAGCAGCUGCGUUGAAGCCGGAACCCUUCCAUUCGACGCAAUAGCAGCAACCUCGAUAAUACAGAGAACCGUUGGAAUACUGGAGAAAACGACAGGGAACUACGACCCAACCGAACAAAUAACUACUAAGAUUUAUAAUGAAUUUCCAACUGCCGCACACCCCCCGAUAUACAGGUUACAUUAUAUAUGGGAUCGCCGAUGGGAUCAAGAUAAACCCAACAUCGACUGGGCGAUCAAAGACAAAGUUAAAGCAGGAGACCCUCCCCAAAAAACAGUCGCAAUUUUCACAGAAAAUCACAGUCGAAAGUACACACAUCAUACGGCUAUCUACACCGACGGAUCCAAAAAUGAGUAUGGAGUAGGAAUUGGAAUUGCGCAACAUCAAUAUGGAACCUUCUAUCGACUACCAAAUGCUUACUCCAUCAUCUCAGCAGAAGCAGCAGCCAUACACACUGCACUAACCAAACAAACGACGAACCCCAACCACCCAAUCGUGAUUUACACUGAUUCCGCUAGCGUACUCCAAGCCUUGGAAAAAGGAUCCAGUAAGCACCCCUGGAUACAAGCCAUUGAACUAGCAUGCAACCGUAACACUUUGUUGGGUGCCUGGCCACUGCGGGAUCGCCGGCAAUAACGAAGCUGAUCAUCUAGCAGCUACCGGACGUAGAGGAACCUUACUAACGAGAUAUGUAUCGGGUCCGGACAUUAAGUGAAAUUCUUCCAAAUCCAUAAGAGAGGAAGUUUUAAGAAAAUGGACAAUAAAUCGAUCCGUGUUUCUUCGUAAAAUAAAAGCAAACUUCGAAAAAUGGACUGAUAGAAAAGUAAGAAAGGAUCAACAAAUCCUAUCUCGACUUAAAACUGGCCAUACUCUCUUAACACACAAGGAACUCUACCUCAACGGGAGACCAGCUCAAUGUGAUACCUGUGCGGUUCAACUGACAGUGGAGCAUGCUUUACUCCGAUGUCCCAUCUACCACAAUGCAAGACAAAACCUUCUAUGCUUUCUAAAGGAUACGGAGAUGUAUAAACUAAUUUAAAAAAAGAAAAACAAACUAGAUUAAAAUGAAAUGUAAACGAAAAACCAAAUUCCAGAGUGGCGAAUGAAUAACAACUUAAAGCCACUCUUAAAUAAACCAAACAAUCAAUCAAUUAGUUAUCAGUCAAACGGUUAUGAAACUUUCAAAUCUUUCGUUUCAAAGUUACAUCUUUCUUUUCAAAAUGAAUUCUUUCAUUUUGAAGAGUAAUGAGAGGGUAUUGUAACCGCUGGUUACAAUGUUGAUUGUCGGCUUCGAAAAGCAUACUCUAGAUUAGCUCAAUUAAUUCCAACAAUCCUAAGUCUUACCCUAGGUAUAUUGUCAGCUGUGUGAGUGGUAGUCCUCGAAGUCUGACGUUUACGUCUGGGACUGAGGAGUCACUCACGCGGGAGCACUCUUAACUAGGGUAACUCAAUCACAACGGUUUGAGCGAAUGACGUCGCGCAACAGGUCAUUCAUCGCUGUUGCAGCAAUGGGAAGGGCUGCCAGGUUUGAACAAUGUAAAUGUCAGAUCGGGUGAUAUCGCGAAAAUUGAAGUUUUCUCGGUAUCAUCCGACUUUAGCCAUACUCAGCUACCGCCAAGAACAUUCUUUCUGCUCCCAACGCCUGAAGAAAUCAGAAGUGCGCGCGGUUUUACUAAAAUUAAUAUCAGAUUAGCAGAUUAAAAAUGAGGCGAAUAUACGUAAUGAUAAUAAAAUCGGGUCAAGUGAAUUAAAAUGUGUUAGUACGUGUUACCAAUACGAAAAGCAAGCCAUGGAAAGCACGGAAUAUACAAUUUAAAAAAGAGUCAAAAAGGUAAAAUUCUAAAAUGAAACGGAUAAAACGUUGGUGUAGAUUAAGGUUGUAAAACACGCGACACCCAAGCUAAUUUCUACUGGGCAGGUCCCCAGUGGACCUUUUUAUUUCCGAAGAUUCGAAGAUUAUUUUCACAGCAGAGAUUCCUCGACCGCCUACUACGCAGCGGACAGAUUACGAUCGGGAGUGCCGUGAGUCCCUGCAACCAGAACCGAAGGUUGGACGUGCUGGACAAUCCGUCAUCAUAUUGUCAUCAGCAUCUUCAACAAGGAUCGGUAACCAGUUCGUUUCCGGUCAGUACCACAACCACGAUAAUCGAGCCCCGGAAGGAUCGAAGCGUCAUAUAUAAGUGGUCACAGAUCCGCCAUUGCUGUUUUCGUCGGCUAUACGCUAGGCCGCCAUCGCACACUCUGCACCAACAAAUAAAAUCCGCAAGUAAAAAUAGGAUAAUGUGACGUCACAUAUAUUUAAGUAAAUGUUAGGGUAAAAUAAAUUGUACAUAUAAUUAAGAAUUGAGAUUCUUUCGAGAGCAACAUUGUCCGUACAUUUACACCACAAUUUGGUAUCGAUCCUCGGACUCGAAAGGAGUCGUCAGCCCUCGUCUUCGGGUGUUCUACGAGAAAGAAAAUUCAAGGUUUCACUUGCGAGUGUCGUGAUACAUAGCGCAUUCCUUUUGGGUCUCUUACCUUAGUUGCCAGCCGCUAUGAAUGGUCCGUUUUCCCGUAGUUCCCAAAGCGAAUGAGUCCCGUGGUGAGUAUGUGUACGCAUAAAACGAGUACCAGCAUAAUUCCCCUCCAACCACCCACUGAACUAGUCUAGAGGUUACACUUUCUAUCUCCGCCUACACACAACCUCACACUUUCGGUACCUUGCAAAAACCAAUUGAACUGCAACCUCAAAGAAUUGUUUACAUCAUUGCAUUCAAGUUGAUCAAUUGCACCCGAAUGCAUUUGAGUGUUGGGCUCUAAAUGAAGCAACUCCUCAAUUCUCCCUGGAUUUAGGGUUAAAACUUUUUGAAAUAUUCUUAAUUAACUAUUCCCCUCUGAUGUUAUUCUAAAUUUUCUUUGCAUUACAUUUGUUUGUUGUUUCUGAGAAUCCGUUCUCUUCUUG